GCUUACGGCCAUACCAGCCUGAAUGCACCUGAUCUCGUCAGAUCUCGGAAGCUAAGCAGGGUCGGGCCUGGUUAGUACUUGGAUGGGAGACUUCCUGGGAAUACCCAGGUGCUGUAAGCA
rnacentral:rRNA from 1 species